UCUUCUGCAUCAUCACCCCAUAUAUGCUUCAUCCGGCCCAUUGAAUAAGGUUGGUAUACGAUCAUUUCUCCUUUUCUCACACUAUGUCCAUCUGGCCAGGUAUCAUCCGAAAAACAAACCCUCGCAUUCUAUGAACAAAUAAGAACAUCAACAUUAUUAAUUAAUUAAUUAGAAGUAAUGUAAAGAGAGAUUCAAAUCAAGAAGAACAAAUUAAGAAACGUAAAAUUCAGUUCACGUAUAUGACAUUUAUCCUAGAUGUUUAAGUUACCAUUGGAACUGUAGGAUAAAGUCUGAGUGUCUCAUACAAAACAGCAUGGAGAUAUUGCAUUUUGCUAAGGGCUUCUUCAGUAAGGUUGGCUGCAACUUCAUCAGCGCUUGAAGUAAUAUUCAGACCUGUUGCUUCUCUAACUUCCUGUGCAAUCUUAUCUUGUAUAUCAAGAUGCUUACACAUCAUAUAAAUAAACCAUGAAAGAGCAGAAGUAGUUGUGUCUUUGCCCGCAGCAAUAAAACUGAAGACCAUGUCUCUCAAGUAUUUUGGAUCAGUCUCUUUAGCUUCCAAUAGUUUGGAGAUAAAGUCUCUUCUCUUCAACUGUGAUUUAACCUCACAAUAUCAGUAACAUCAAAUCAAUUAAUACUAUGUUAUUUCAAUCUAGAGUAGAAAGGAAGGUACGUAACUCACAGGUUGCUCGUAUUGUUCUUCUGACUUAUGGAGUUUUUCAAUCUUUAUGUCGAUUAAAUUGUAUAUAAAGUCAUCCAACACUUUCAUAUUUUUUCUUAUCGCUGCUUCCGUACCAAUGUUUAAGAACCGUUUGAUCCUCCAAAAGACAUCACCAACACGAUAAAUGAUAGAUCCGCUUGCAUAAGCAAGAGCAUUGGCAAACCGGAUACCUUCAUUGUUUGUUGCAGACAUGGUAUCUAGAUCGAUACCAAGUAGAAUCUUGACGAUUGAAUCCAAGGUCGAUUGCAAAAACAAAACCUUCCAACAGAACGAAGAUCAUUAAUUCAUAGACUGAUAUUCAACAUUAAAAAAAAAAAAAUCAAGAAAUCUGAACAUACAGACAUACAGUGCUACAUUUACUCUUGUCUAUUGCAACUCACUUGCAUCUCUAUUGAUUUGCCGCAGGUUGCAGCUUCAUGAAUUAUGCUAGCAAGUUUGACUGCAUUGGUCUUGAAGAUUUCACUGCUGAAGUCUCUAAGUACUUUGGUUGAGAAUUGCGAGCUUGAUGCCUUCCUCUGAUGCCUCCAUUUGUCCCCAUCCACAGAAAAGAUCCCAUCGCCCAACACAUCAUACAGAAUGCUAUGCAGGUAAUAUCCCUACAAAGAAAUGGUGUACAAACUUAAGCCUCUUGAUCAAUUAUUUUUAGCAUAUUCCUAUGGAUUUUCAUAUAUUGAAAUAAAAAUGAAAGCUUUUGUACCUUGCCAUAGUUAGCAACAUUUGUUUUGAGCACGUAUUCGACAUUUACAGGAUCUGCCGUGUAGACUGUGUAUCUAAAAAAGCCAAGCAUCCUGUAAGUUCUGUACUUGCAUGCAAGCUCUGUCAUAUAAUGGUGCAACUUGCGGCGGUAUUUCAGUUGGUGGAAGAGGGUUCCGGCAACUGGAGGGUAUCUCUUGUUCUUCUUUUGCAUAAAUAUUACUCCUAAAAGGAACAUGACUGCUAAACUUAUUGCAAUGGGAGGUAAAGGAGUGGAAAGAAGAAAAUCCAUGACCAAAAUUCUUAUGGGAUAUUGGAGUUGACAAUGAAGUUAGAACUAGACAACCUGAGUCCCUUAAAUCAUUGUAACAGCUGCCUCGCAACAAAAAAGAUAUCAAGAGGGAUCAUUGGGAUCAGACAUAUAUUAGUUUCGAAGUGGUUCAAUUAUGACUGUACUCUACUGGUCAUAAUUUCUAACGGUAUUGGCAAGACAGUAUUAGAUAAGCUUUCACGCGACUUCAAUUUUGUAGUUUCCAAUCGGGUAAGGUUAUAGACUUAUAACCUCUCACAGAGAAAGACUCCAGAACGUCUCUAACUCCUCCUCAAUUAAUUAACUUCUAGAUACCUAACUGGCUAACUGUCUCUCGUCAAUGAAUACUGCUCUAUUUACAGAUUGGCUUCUGUAUGAUCUCUCACAGCUCAAUUUGUGUUGCUGCUGUAUCAUUGAAAUAAGUAUUCCCACUUCAGGCGGUUUAAUUUGUUUAAAGGAUAUGGAUUAUGCACAAAACAAACAAACGCUAAGCAAAAUGAUGCUGAUAUUUGUCAAAAAUGCUACCCUGAUUUGCUCAGCGUUUAGCAAAUGAAGCCCUGUUAAAGAGUUAGGGGUCAGAAAGCUCACCUUCAAGUUGCCAUUUGAAAUAUAAACAACUAAAUCACUUAAACUAAGAACAAAUGCUUAACAACAUAUUAAUUGCACAUGAUGCAUCGAUCAUAGCCAUCUCAUAAUUUAGUAGAUGAGCCUCCAAAAUAUACUUCAAGGCAGGUAAAGCCAUUUACACAUUUAAAAUAUAAACAAUUUAUAACUAGUGUAUUUCAACUGUUUUUUGUGGUUAAAAUCAUGAUGCAUAUUGGCCAUGCCAAAAUGCAAACGCUAAGCAUAGUGAUUCUGAAUUUCUGAUAUCUGAAAAGUGCAGUACUAUGUCGAAAUUAUGAGAGGAAAAAAACCCUCUAUCCCUUAUUUACUCCGUUAGCAUAUAGCAAACGGUCACAGAAGCUCAUUAGGUCUCAAGUCUCAAGGAUCAAGAGAUUUGAGACUGUGUUCUGUUUCCCCCUUACGUACGUUUGGUAUUUCUAUUUUUGGUUUUGAGUCCUAGCAUGUUCCUCUUUACCCUGGACAUCGAUCAUCUUUCUCACGAAAAUUCUUGUAUUCACUUUGUAAAAUUUUAUAUUUUCACUCUUAUUUCUAGCAACCGGACCAAUAGCAGUUAGAUUGUCAAAAGAUUCUGUUUUUGUAACUAUGAUUAUACUUCCAUUGAAUACAUGAAGAAUCCCAUUUUCUCAAAAAACAAACAGAGGCUUUCAGUGUUCUUGGACAGAAUAUACUGCACUUAAACCAAGUGAAUCAGCUCAAACCAAUAUCAUAAACAAUCAAAAUCAAUGCAGAUCAAGCUUCCACAAAGAAGUUGAAGACAAAUAUCAAAAUCCACAGAAUAUACACUUAGAUACUGCAUAUACCUUAGACUUAUUUCAUAAACAAAUCCUUCCACCAAAAGGCACAUAAAGUAAUUAAUUUAUAUGCACGCUAGACAAUCAGAACAAUGAGAAUAUACAACCAACCUAAAGUGCAAUAUCUGUAGUAUGUGAUCUCUGAUACUGUACGUGAGACAUUGCAAACUUACUUGGAUAUCUAUUGAUUUGCUACAGUUUGCAGCUUGAUGAAUUAUGCCAGCCAGUUUCAAUCCAUUUGUUUUGAAGAUUUCACUGCUGAAGUCCCUGAGUACUUUGGUUGAGAACUGAGAGCUUGAUGCCUUCCUCUGAUGCAUCCAUUUGUCCCCAUCCACAGCGUAGAUCCCAUCUCCCAUAUAAUCAGACAGAAUUUCAUGCAGGUACAAUCCCUAAAAAGAAAUGGUCGACUUAAGCUUUAUGAUCGAUCAUUUUAUAAUUGGGCAUUUAUAUUCCUAAUUUUCUUUCAAAUAGUGAUAUUGCAUGUCUGGCCUUUGGGGUUAAUAUAUAACGUACCUUGCUAUAGUUCGCAAAGUUUGUUUUGAACACGUAUUCCACAUUUGCAGGAUCUGCAGUGUAAACAAUAGUCCUGAACAAGCUAAGCAUUCUGUAAGUUCUGUAUUUGUAGGCAAGCUCAGUCAUGUAAUGGAAUCAGUUGGUGUAAGACGGUUCCGGCGAGAGGAGGGUAUCUUUUGUUGUUCUCUGGCCAAAAAAAAUAACUGCUAAAAGAACAAGUACUGGUAACUUAUUGCUAUCUUAGCUAAAGGCAGGCUGGAAAGAAAAUCCAUGACCAAUAUAUAUGCUUAUGGGAUAUUGAAGAUGAUCAUGAAUUUAGGACAACAUAUAUAUAUAUAUAUAUAUAUAUAUAUNNNNNNNNNNNNNNNNNNNNCAAUUACCUCUUUAAGGACACAUGAGUAAUAAUGUUGUAACUAAUUUUUUUUACUAACUUUAAGGACUCAUAUUAUAAUUUUAAGGAUUAAUAUUACUACUUUGAGGACACUUUUUACAACUUGAGGACAAAGUUGACGCAUCACAUGCAUUAACACACCCUAACCUUACCCCUCAUCAAACUCUUAGUUUUGUAGUCUAAAAUGCAUUGAUAUCAAGUUGCGUUCGUGUCGUGUUGAGCCUUCGCAAGGGAAGUUACAAUUAAUAGUCAUGUUUAUGCUAACUUGAUUUUUAUCAGUAAGUUUUGUGUGAUAUAUAUGUAACAACUGAUUUGGACAUGAAAACCUUGUGAGUAUUUGGAAAUUGAUAUCUCUAAAUUGUCCAUCCGUCGAUGCUACUGAUAUAUAUACACACCAACUGAAUCUGCUCAAGCUAUUAAAUCAAUGCAGAGCAAACUAAUUCCACAAAGAAAUUGAAGACAAAUAUCAAAAUCCAGAGUAUACACUUAAUUACUGCAUAUACUUAUCUGCAGUGUUCUUAUAAUCAUUUAUAAUUAAAUACACUUCAUGAAAUCCAUCAUCACUUACUGAUUUAUUGUAAUGCCAAAUGAUGCAUAUACCUUGAUUAAAGGCUCAUCAACAAGAAGUUGUUGAUCACAAGUUUGAUGUUUCAAAUAUGAGACUAACAUCUGAUACAACUUUCUUACAAUGCUCAAACUCUUGGAAAGGCAUGAACAUGAAGUCUCUUGAUAUCGAGCGUGACCAUCGUCCUGUAUUCCACCACUUUUGUCUCGUCAGUGAGCUUGAAUAUGUACUUGGUUAAAAGCACAGCACAGAAUAUCUUCAUUUGCAGAUAACUAUAAUCCUUUCCCAGACAAAUUCUUGGACCGGCCUGCAUCAUAACUAUAUCAUCAGAACAUCUAUAACUAAGCAACCUUAUCAAGAAAAUAUUAGCUUGGUGUUCUUCGUAUAUUACACUGAAGGUUAUGAAUUUGAAAGGGUUUUCUUCUUUGAAAUUGCCAUUUCCGUCAAGCCAUCUCUCUGGCCGGAACUCUUCUGCAUCAUCACCCCAUAUAUACUUCAUCCGGCCCAUUGAAUAAGGUUGGUAUACGAUCAUUUCUCCUUUUCUCACACUAUGUCCAUCUGGCCAGGUAUCAUCAGAAAAACAAACCCUCGCAUUCUAUGAACAAAUACGAACAUCAACAUUAUUAAUAAAUUAAUUAGAAGUAAUGUAAAGAGAGAUUCAAAUCAAGAAGAACAAAUUAAGAAACGUAACAUUCAGUUCAUGUAUAUGACAUUUAGAGUAAUGCUACGUGAACCACCUAGAGUCCACCUUACGUGGCAAGCUGACGUGGCAUAUCCACAUUAUCAAUAUAAGAUUUCUAAUAUUUUAAAUUUCUGUUUUUUAUUAUUAAUUACGAAAUCUCAUUUUUCAUUUUGUAUUCUUUGAACCCUAUCAUAUUAUCUAUUUAUCGUCUAAUCGUUUAAAACAAAAUCCUAACAAAAAUCCUUAUAAUAAGUCUUCAAACAGACGUGAUUCUAUCAUAUCUUCCUCUCAUCUCUCCCAUCCUCCCACCUUAUCUUCAAUUCAAUUGAUUAGGAAUUCUCAAUCUGAUUUUGGCUUUGUCAAUCACAAACAUUCCAUGCCUAUUCUCUAGAAUAGUCAGAGAAUGUUUUUUUUUUUUGCCCUUUUCAUAACAUGUUUGGAAUUAAGGGUUUGGGGGAGUGGAUUUGAAUUGGGGUUCAUAUUAUAGCUAUGAUUUUGAAUUAGGGUUCAUACUCUCACAUGUGAUUUUGAAUUAGGGUUCAUACCCAAACCCUUAAUUCCAAACAUGUUAUGAAAGGAAAAGAAAGAUGAAGAAACAGUAAUCACAAUUAGAAUAGGCAGAGGAUGUUUGCGAGAAAGCCGAGAUCAAACUGAGAAUUCCUUUAUCAAUUGAAUUAAAUAAGAGGUGGGAGGAUGGGGUGAGAUAACAGGAUGGAUAGAACUACGUCGGUUUUGAAGAUGUAUUGUACAUAGGCAAAAAGAACUUCUUCUUUUUUUUUGGUAAGGAUUAGAAAGACAAAGGAUAUAGGGUUUAAAAAAAAAUAAAAAAGAAAAAAAAAAUUAGUAAUUAAUAAUAAAAAAACAGAAAUUUAAAAUAUUAGCUUAUAUUGAUGACGUGGAUAUGCCACAUUAGCUUGUCACGUAAGAUGGGCUCUAGAUAUUUCACCUAGCAUUACUCAUGACAUUUAUCCUAGAUGUUUAAGUUACCAUUGGAACUGCAGGAUAGAGUCUCAGUGUCUCGGUCAAGGCUGCAUGGAGGUAUUGCAUUUUAUUAAGGGCUUCUUCAGUAAGGUUGGCUGCAACUUCAUCAGCGCUUGAAGUAUUAUUCAGACCUGUUGCUUCUCUAACUUCCUGUGCAAUCUUCUCUUGUAUAUCAAGAUGCUUACACAUCAUAUAAAUAAACCAUGAAAGAGCAGAAGUAGUUGUGUCUUUGCCCGCAGCAAUAAAACUGAGGACCAUGUCUCUCAAGUACUUUGGAUCAGUCUCUUUAGCUUCCAAUAGUUUGGAAAUAAAGUCUCUUCUCUUUAACUGUGAUUUAACCUCAAAAUAUCAGUAACAUCAAAUCAAUUAAUACUAUGUUAUUUCAACCUAGAGUAGAAAGGAAGGUACGUAACUCACAGGUUGCUCGUAUUGUUCUUCUGACUUACGGAGUUUUUCAAUCUUUAUGUUGAUUAAAUUGUAUACAAAGUCAUCCAACACUUUCAUAUUUCUUCUUAUCGCUGCUUCCGUACCAAUGUUUAAGAACCGUUUGAUCCUCCAAAAGACAUCAGCAACACGAUAAAUGAUAGAUCCGCUUGCAUAAGCAACAGCAUUGGCAAACCGGAUAUUUUCAUUGUUUGUUGCAGACAUGGUAUCUAGAUCGAUACCAAGUAGAAUCUUGACGAUUGAAUCCAAGGUUGAUUGCAAAAACAAAACCUUCCAACAGUACGAAGAUCAUUAAUUCAUAGACUGAUAUUCAACAUUAAAAAAAAAAAAUCAACAAAUCUGAACAUACAGUGCUACAUAUGUAGUAUAUAUGUUACUCUUGUCUAUUGCAACUCACUUGCAUCUCUAUUGAUUUGCCGCAGGUUGCAGCUUCAUGAAUUCUGCUAGCAAGUUUGACUGCAUUGGUCUUGAAGAUUUCACCGCUGAAGUCUCUAAGUACUUUUGUUGAGAAUUGCGAGCCUGAUGCCUUCCUCUGAUGCCUCCAUUUGUCCCCAUCCACAGAAAAGAUCCCAUCGCCCAACACAUCAUACAGAAUGUUAUGCAGGUAAUAUCCCUACAAAAAAAUGGUGUACAAACUUAAGCCUCUUGAUCAAUUAUUUUUAGCAUAUAUAUUCCUAUGGAUUUUCAUAUAUUGAAAUAAAAAUGACAGUUUUUGUACCUUGCCAUAGUUAGCAGCAUUUGUUUUGAGCACAUAUUCGACAUUUACAGGAUCUGCCGUGUAGACUGUGUAUCCAAAAAAGCCAAGUAUCCUGUAAGUUCUGUACUUGCAUGCAAGCUCUGUCAUAUAAUGGUGCAACUUGCGGCGGUGUUUCAGUUGGUGGAAGAGGGUUCCGGCAACUGGAGGGUAUCUCUUGUUCUGCUUCUUCCCCAGAAAAAUAACUCCUAAAAGGAACAUGACUGCUAAACUUAUUGCUAUGGGAGGUAAAGGAGUGGAAAGAAGAAAAUCCAUGACCAAAAUUCUUAUGGGAUAUUGGAGUUGACAAUGAAGUUAGAACUAGACAACCUGAGAGGGAUCAUUCGGAUGAGACAUAUAUAGUUUCCAAGUGGUCAUAAUUGCGACUGUACUCUACUGGACAUAGGCAUGGGAUUCAGUAUUAAAUAAGCUUUCAUGGGACUUCAAUUUUGUCGUUUCCAAUCGGGUAAGGUUAUAACCUCUCCGUCUCUAACUUCUAGACACCCAACUGUCUCUCGUCAAUAAAUACUGCUCUAUUUACAGAAUGACUUCUCUAUUUCCAAAAUCGCAGGAAAAUCAAAUCGAAUUGAAACGAGAAAAAAGAGAAUCGGAAAGAGAUUACGUCUUUGAAUUGGAGGAGGCCGAGGUCGCCGAGAUAAGAGACGGUGAGGUGGGCGGACUCGAUGGGGAUGAUGAUCUGGACGAGCUGCAUAUGUUCCACGUCCUUCCAGUCCCCCUUAUCUCUUCUCCAUUUAUGUUGUUGGGUCCGUGAGGAAAUUUCCUGCUUUUUUAAAAGCAUUUCCGACAGCUUUUUUAUUUUCUUUACUUUUUUAAAAGCAUCUCCGACAGUUUUCUCGUAUUAUUGGUUUUCUUGUUUUUACUUUUGGGGAAGAUUUUGGUUAUUUUGUUUCAAUAGAUUUUCUAAAACUUUCUCCAAAAUAAAGAAUGUGAUGAGAGAGAAAGCCAACUUCCUUAUAUUUACAGCAAACUCUAAAAUUUUAAAGAAAGAUUUGGGAAAUGGUCAUCAAAUCUCUAAAAUAGGAAAUAUGUUGGAGUUAAAGAUGAAAAAUUACAUGAAGCUCUGACUUUUGCUUUUCCGUAAUAGAAAAAUUAUGGAGAAGCUAUUGGAGAUGCUCUGACAUUUUUCACUAUUUUUUAGGUCCUAAAAAUUAUUAUUUGAUUUUUCUUUUUACGAAAAAUGCUCACUAGCACUGAUUUUGAAGAUUUUUUUCCUACCAACAAAAGCAGAUUCUAAUAUUCUUAUUAACCCUACAAAGUCUUACGAUUUAUUCCACUAACAAAAUAGAACCACUUUUACAUAUUCCCAUCAAUAUGUCUCGGUUCGGUUUUGUGAUGUUCUUGAUUCCAUUCCAUUUCAUUGAAGAUGAUUAGACUAAGCUUUCAUGCCUCUGUAAUCUUUUUCCUCGGUUCGGUAUUGGCAAAGACCGUAUUGAAUAAGCUUUCAUGCGACUUCAAUUUUGUAGUUUCCAAUCGGGUAAGGUAAUUGACUUAUAACCUCUCGCAGAGAAAGACUCAAGAACGUCUCUAACUCCUCAAUUAACUAACUUCUAGAUACCUAACUGUCUCUCAUCAAUGAAUACUGCUGUAUUUACAGAAUGGCUUCUCUCACAGCUGCAUUUGUGUGCUGCUGUAUCAUUGAAAUAAGUAUUCCUACUUCUGGCGGUUUAAUUUGUUUAAAGGAUAUGGACUAUGCACAAACAAACGCUAAGCAAAAUGAUGCUGAUAUUUGUCAAAAAUAUUAUGCUACCCUGAUUUGCUCAGCGUUUAGCAAAUGAAGCCUAAAGAGUUGGGGGUCACAAAGCUCACCUUCACGUUGCCAUUUGAAAUAUAAACAACUAAAUCACUUAAACUAAGAACAAAUGCUUACCCACAUAUUAAUUUCACAUGAUGCAUCGAUCAUAGCCAUCUCAUAAUCUAGUAGAUGAGCCUCCAAAAUAUACUUCAAGGCAGGUAAAGCCAUUUACACAUUUAAAAUAUAAACAAUUUAGUACUAAUAUACUUCAACUGUUUUUUGUGCUUAAAAUUAUGAUGCAUAUUGGCCAUGCCUAAAUGAAAACGCUAAGCAUAGUGAUUCUGAAUUUCUGAUAGCUGAAGUGCAGUACUAUUCUAUGUCCAAAUUAUGAGGGGAAAAAUGCCCUCGAUCCAUUAUUUACUCGGUUAGCAUUUAGCAAACGGUCACAAAAGCUCAUUAGGUCUCAACUCUCAAGGAACAAGAGAUUUGAGACUCUGUUCUGUUUCCCCCUUACGUAUGUUUGGUAUUUCUAUUUCUUGUUUGAGUUCUAGCAUGUUCCUCUUUACCCUGGACAUCGAUCAUCUUUCUCACGAAAUUUCUUCUAUAUAUGCACUUUGUAAAAUUUUAUAUUUUCACUCUUAUUUCUAGCAACCGGACCAAUAGCAGUUAGAUUGUCAAAAGAUUCUGUUUUUGUAACUAUGAUCAUACUUUCAUUGAAUGCAUGAAGAAUCCCAUUUUCUCAAAAAACAAACAGAGGCUUUCAGUGUUCUUGGACAGAAUAUACAUGCACUUACACCAAGUGAAUCAGCUCAAACCAAUAUCAGAAAUAAUCAAAAUCAAUGCAGAUCAAGCUUCCACAAAGAAGUUGAAGAAAAAUAUCAAAACCCAAAGAAUAUACACUUAGAUAUUGCAUAUUCCUUAGACUUAUUUGCAGUAGUGUUCAUAUAAUCAUAUAUAAAUGCACUUUAAAACUAAAUCCAUAAUCACUUAAUAAUUUAUUGUAAUGCCAAAUGAUGCAUAAACCUCGAUUUGUUAAUGGAAAAGGCUCAUCAACAACACUUUGUUGGCCACAAGUUUUAUUUUCUAAAUAUGAGUUUGAAGAGGCUAGCAGCCUCUACUCCAGAGAUUAACAUCAAUGGCAAGACAAACGACAGAACUUCUGAUACAGCUUUCUUGCAUGCUCAAACUCUUGGAAAGGCAUGAACAUGAAGGCCUUCAUCGCUAUGGAGAGUGACCAUAUUCUUGUACGUCACCACCUUAUUCUCGUCAGUGAGCUUGAAUAUGUAGUUGUUUAAAAGCACAGCAGAAUAUAUCUUCAUUUGGAGAUAACUGUGAUCCCUUCCCAGACAAAUUCUUGGACCAGCCUGCAUUAUAACAAUAUCAUCAGUACUCUCAUAACUAAGCAACCUUAUCAAAAAAAUAAAUAUUAGCUUGGUUUUCUUAAUAUAUCACAUUGAAGGCUGUGAAUUUGAAAGGGCUUUCAUCCUUGAAAUUGCCAUUUCCAUCAAGCCAUCUCUCUGGCCGAAACUCUUCUGCAUCAUCACCCCAUAUAAACUUCAUCCAGCCCAUUGAAUAAGGUUGGAAUAUCACUAAUUCUCCUUUUUUGACACUGUAUCCAUCAGGCCAGGUAUCAUCAGAAAAACAUACCCUCCCAUUCUAUGAACAAAUAAGAGCAAAGAAAUUAUUAACUAAGAAAUAAUGUAAAGAGUGAUUCAAAUCAAGGACAGCAAAGAAUCGUAACAUUCAAUUCAUGUAUGGAUUCAUCCAAGAUGUUUAAGUUACCAAUGGGACAGAAGGAUAGAGCCUCAGUGUCUCAGUUAAAGCUGCACGGAGAUAUUGCAUCUUGAUAAGGGCUUCUUCAGUAAGGUUGGCUGCAACUUCAUCGGUGCUUGAAGUAUUAUUCAGACCUGUUGCUUCUCUAACUUCCUGUGCAAUCUUCUCUUGUAUAUCAAGAUGCUUGCACAUC
rnacentral:lncRNA from 1 species